rnacentral:rRNA from 1 species
UACAGAGGGUGCGAGCGUUAAUCGGAAUUACUGGGCGUAAAGCGUGCGUAGACGGUUAUUUAAGUCAGAUGUGAAAGCCCCGGGCUCAACCUGGGAAUUGCAUUUGAGACUGAAUAGCUAGGGUACGGUAGAGGGAAGCGGAAUUUCCGGUGUAGCGGUGAAAUGCGUAGAGAUCGGAAAGAACACCAACGGCGAAAGCACUCUGCUGGGCCGACACUGACACUGAGAGACGAAAGCUAGGGGAGCGAAUGGG